rnacentral:rRNA from 1 species
UCUGAUGUAAGGCUACGAGCGAAGCAUGCAGAAGUUCAUAAUCAGACGAAGAUAGGAUCAAGCAUUCAGAUACGUCGUAGUCAUCUAUAACUAGCGACUAGGGAUGGAGUGGGCAUAUACCAUUUCAGUACUUAUGAGAAAUCAAAGUCUUGGGUCUGGGGAGUAUGGUCGCAAGACUGAAACUAAAGAAUGACGGAAGGGCACCACCAGGAGUGGAGCUGCGGCUAAUUUGACUCAACACGGGGAAGCUUACCAGGUCCAGACAUAGUAAGGAUGACAGAUUGAUAGCUCUAUCAUGAUUCUAUGGGUGGUGGUGCAUGGCCGUCUAGUUGGUGGAGUGUUUUGUCUGGUUGGUUCCGAUACGAGCGAGACCUAACUGCUAACUAGACUUUUUCAUUUUAUGAUUAAGUCUUCUUAGAGGGACUAUAUGCUUUAAGUAUAUGGAAGUUUGAGGCAAUAACAGGUCUGUGAUGCACAUUAUAUGUCCUGGGCUGCACGCGUGCUACACUGAUAUAUACAACAAGUGCCUAGCUAGAUAUAGUAUGGCAAUCUCGAAUAUAUAUCGUGAUGGGGAUAGAUCUUUGCAAUUAUAGAUCUUGAACGAGGAAUUCCUAGUAAGUGCAAGUCAUCAUCUUGCAUUGAUUAUGUCCCUGCCCUUUGUACACACCGCCCGUCGCUCCUACCGAUACCGGGGAGAAGCAAAGUGAACCUUUGGACCUAAUAGGAAAAAUAAGUAAACCUAUCACCUAGAGGAAGGAGAAGUCGUAACAAGGUUCCUAGGUGAACCUGCAGAAGGAUCAUAAGCGGAUCCCG